rnacentral:rRNA from 1 species
ACUGCGGAGGAUCAUUACCGAGUGAGGGCCCUCUGGGUCCAACCUCCCACCCGUGUUUAUUUUACCUUGUUGCUUCGGCGGGCCCGCCUUAACUGGCCGCCGGGGGGCUUACGCCCCCGGGCCCGCGCCCGCCGAAGACACCCUCGAACUCUGUCUGAAGAUUGUAGUCUGAGUGAAAAUAUAAAUUAUUUAAAACUUUCAACAACGGAUCUCUUGGUUCCGGCAUCGAUGAAGAACGCAGCGAAAUGCGAUACGUAAUGUGAAUUGCAAAUUCAGUGAAUCAUCGAGUCUUUGAACGCACAUUGCGCCCCCUGGUAUUCCGGGGGGCAUGCCUGUCCGAGCGUCAUUUCUGCCCUCAAGCACGGCUUGUGUGUUGGGCCCCGUCCUCCGAUCCCGGGGGACGGGCCCGAAAGGCAGCGGCGGCACCGCGUCCGGUCCUCGAGCGUAUGGGGCUUUGUCACCCGCUCUGUAGGCCCGGCCGGCGCUUGCCGAUCAACCCAAAUUUUUAUCCAGGUUGACCUCGGAUCAGGUAGGGAUACCCGCUGAACUUAAGCAUAUCA